AGGGAGGGGACACCUACGCCAUCUGCUGGUGAGAAAGAGAACUGCGGGGAGGGGCUGCUUGGGCGAAGGCCGCCUCCAGCCAGCCGUGCCUACGGACACGUUUCGGCUCCAGUUCUCCCCUCUGGUUUGCCUCCAGCUCUUGCGGACAACAUCAGCCCUCUGGGGACUUGGACUGAUUCUCCAGUUAGCGCAUACCUGUCCCACUCCUGUCUGCAAGAUUUGGAGCCCUGUCUGUGCUUCCAGUUCAGACUUCACCAGCCCUGCAGGGAGGACAAAGGCCCCUCCAGCCACCUCCUUGCUCAAGCUGCUUUCUAGAUCUCGGCCACUGCCCUAGCAAGAUGCCAGCCCCACCUGAUGUUGAUGAAGCUGCCUGAGGACAUGUGCACAUGCUCAGCCAGGAUCUCCAGCAGCUUCACUCCUGCAGCCAGGCUCAGGGGCCUGGAGAUGGGAGAAGGCAGAGGAAGGAAAGUGGGGCAACCCUCUCAGUCACUUUCUUAAAACAGGCCACUCCAGGGGUACAGAGCAGCCUGCCAAUUCCCUGUCCCUGCACGUCUGGAUUUCUGCCCUCUGCUUCUGGCCAGGCAGGCCAGCCCAAAUCCUAGCAGACCAGAAAGCUUCCCAGGAUGCAGCCCUUACUUCUGAUCAGUGACGAUGUAGCCAUAUUCCUCUGCUGCUGGGCGGGCUGAGGGCUGUCCUGCCACCGUGGGCUGGCUCUGGCCCAGUGGGCUUUUCUUCUCUAGCAGGACAGGUGUCACAGGGGGUCUGGCAGCUUUGGGAGGCUCAGAGGAGACAGGGCUUGGCACCUGCUGGACUUCACUGGAGGGACCACUGCAGUGCUGGGUACAGAGAGGACACCAGAGCAUCUGAGACAAGACAACCACAGAUUCAUCAGCCUCACCAUUGCUAGAGUUGUAGAGAAAGGCUGCCUACCUGUCCCUUGGACGGGGCUCUGGGGGGCGAAGCCUGGGGAUGCGCUCCAUCUCCUGAGAGAUCACAUACUGGGUGAGGUCAUCGUGCCAGGACAAUCCUGUCAGGAAAGAGGACAGCGUACAGCUAUUGGAGCCAGACCACCUGGGUUUGAAUCCUGCCUUUGCUACUGAUGAAUUAUGUAACCUUGGGCAAGUUGCUGAACCUCUCCAAGCCUCAAUUCCCUCAUCAAUAAAAUGGGGAUUUAUACCUCCUAGGAUUGUUAUUAUCAUUAAAAUAACACAUAUACAUAUCAAACGGUUAGAAUAGUGCCUG
rnacentral:lncRNA from 10 species